rnacentral:rRNA from 1 species
UGGGGAAUUUUGGACAAUGGGCGAAAGCCUGAUCCAGCCAUGCCGCGUGAGUGAAGAAGGCCUUCGGGUUGUAAAGCUCUUUUAGUCGGAAAGAAAGAGUUGCAAUGAAUAAUUGUGAUUUAUGACGGUACCGACAGAAAAAGCACCGGCUAACUACGUGCCAGCAGCCGCGGUAAUACGUAGGGAGCAAGCGUUGUUCGGAUUUACUGGGCGUAAAGGGCGCGUAGGCGGCGCGGUAAGUCACUUGUGAAAUCUCUGAGCUUAACUCAGAACGGCCAAGUGAUACUGCUGUGCUAGAGUGCGGAAGAGGCAACCGGAAUCCUUGGUGUAGCGGUGAAAUGCGUAGAUAUCAAGAGGAACACCUGAGGCGAAGGCGGGUUGCUGGGCCGACACUGACGCUGAUGCGCGAAAGCCAGGGGAGCAAACG